rnacentral:rRNA from 1 species
ACUGCUCAGUAACACGUGGACAACCUGCCCUUUAGGUUGGGUAUAAACCCGGGAAACUGGGUAUAAUACCCGAUAGGUCUCGAUUGCUGGAAUGCAUCGAGAUUUAAAGCUCCGGCGCCUAAGGAUGGGUCUGCGGCCUAUCAGGUAGUAGUGGGUGUAGCGUACCUACUAGCCUACGACGGGUACGGGUUGUGAGAGCAAGAGCCCGGAGAUGGAUUCUGAGACACGAAUCUAGGCCCUACGGGGUGCAGCAGGCGCGAAAACUUUACAAUGCUGGCAACAGCGAUAAGGGAACCUCGAGUGCCAGGUUACAAAUCUGGCUGUCGAGAUGCCUAAAAAGCAUUUCAUAGCAAGGGCCGGGCAAGACCGGUGCCAGCCGCCGCGGUAACACCGGCGGCUCGAGUGGUAACCGUUAUUAUUGGGUCUAAAGGGUCUGUAGCCGGCCGGAUAAGUCUCCUGAGAAAUCUGGCAGCUUAACUGUCAGGCUUUCAGGAGAUACUGUCUGGCUCGAGGCCGGGAGAGGUGAGAGGUACUUCAGGGGUAGGGGUGAAAUCUUGUAAUCCUUGAAGGACCACCAGUGGCGAAGGCGUCUCACCAGAACGGACCUGACGGCAAGGGACGAAAGCUAGGGGCACGAACCGGAUUAGAUACCCGGGUAGCCCUAGCCGUAAACGAUACUCGCUAGGUGUCGGCCACGGUGCGACCGUUGUCGGUGCCGUAGGGAAGCCGUGAAGCGAGCCACCUGGGAAGUACGGCCGCAAGGCUGAAACUUAAAGGAAUUGGCGGGGGAGCACCACAACGGGUGGAGCUUGCGGUUUAAUUGGAUUCAACGCCGGG